CGUAAGUGACGUGAGGUCAGCGACUGUGCGUGGUUCAGAUUCUUAGCAGCCCUCGUGUUGAGAACAGCUGGUGCCAGGAAACUGGCUCGUGUUGCACUGGGAAGUUAGAUGCCAUCUUCAGCCGCGCAUCACCUUCCAGGAAGGGACCCUGCCUCGCACCUUACUCUCUCCUGCCAUCCAAGAAGGGAGAGACGUCUGCUUGUAUCGUCCUGCCGACACGAGCUACUGUCCAGGGAAGGAAGAAAGACUUGUUCCUCGCACCUGUACUCUUCCUGACAACACUGCUGCUUAUGUCAUUUCUUCGUUGUCCUGUUAAUGUACCUGUUGAUAAUUUACUACAAUAAAUCAUGUAAUGGAC